rnacentral:rRNA from 1 species
ACGGGUGAGUAAUGUCUGGGAAACUGCCUGAUGGAGGGGGAUAACUACUGGAAACGGUAGCUAAUACCGCAUAACCUCGCAAGAGCAAAGAGGGGGACCUUCGGGCCUCUCGCCAUCAGAUGUGCCCAGAUGGGAUUAGCUAGUAGGUGAGGUAAUGGCUCACCUAGGCGACGAUCCCUAGCUGGUCUGAGAGGAUGACCAGCCACACUGGAACUGAGACACGGUCCAGACUCCUACGGGAGGCAGCAGUGGGGAAUAUUGCACAAUGGGCGCAAGCCUGAUGCAGCCAUGCCGCGUGUGUGAAGAAGGCCUUCGGGUUGUAAAGCACUUUCAGCGAGGAGGAAGGCGGUAAGGUUAAUAACCUUAUCGAUUGACGUUACUCGCAGAAGAAGCACCGGCUAACUCCGUGCCAGCAGCCGCGGUAAUACGGAGGGUGCAAGCGUUAAUCGGAAUGACUGGGCGUAAAGCGCACGCAGGCGGUCUGUUAAGUUGGAUGUGAAAUCCCCGGGCUUAACCUGGGAACUGCAUUCAAAACUGACAGGCUAGAGUCUUGUAGAGGGGGGUAGAAUUCCAGGU